rnacentral:lncRNA from 1 species
ACCCCACCCCAACCCCCUGUCUCCUCUGACUGCUCCAUGCUGCCUCUGGGUCGCUCUCCUUCUCUCUGUUUCUGGGCCAAACACAGCUGAAUGCUGACUGGCAAAAUCAGCAGAGAACUUCCACAGCUAACUUUACUAACUUCACAGGGAAACAUCUAACCUCUCCAAGAUACCGCCCUUACUACCUCCCUACAGGGGUACCAGUGCUGAGCUGAAUGGAUCACACUCAACACACACAGCACACUCAACACACACAGGCACACCCAAAAGGUAGAGAAGAUGGAGAUGAGAAAAUAGGGUUUGUUUUCUGUCUGUCUGAGAGAUUGUUGUUCUAAUCUCUUUCUUUCUGUCUGUCUUUAUCUCUCUCUGGCUAUCCAUCUCGCUCUCUUUCUCUCUCUUUCUCUAUCUCAUAGGAGGAACUGAAGAGCCUCCAGACUGGCCUGAAGCAUGUCAAUGAUGAAAGUGUUCAACUGCAGAGUCACCAGCUGACUACAGACCUUGAGAACAACUUCAACAUGCCCCCAAUGAAGACCAAGGUGUUGAUGUGAGUGUUUGUCUGUGUGCGUGCGUGCGUGUGUGAACAUGUGUGUGUGAACGUGUGUGUUUCACUCUUGGCUGUGUGUGUAUGUUUCCUAGUAUCCAGCGCGCUUGGCGUGACUUCCUCCAGAGACAGGAAUUGAUGGAGAAGAGGAGCCCCUCCCCUCCCUCCCUCUCCUCCUCUGACAAGAUGAGCACGUCCAUCAGCAUGACCACUCUAUCAGAUGGCAUCACCCCUCAGCCAUCCAUUUUGGGCCCUAUCUUAGCAGCCCUCUAAUUACAUAUGAUAUCUGCCCUCCCAUCGUAUUCAGCCGUCAUUCCGAAGAUGAAAUGAAUCCAUUCUAAUUUAAUCAGAUUGGUGGGAGGGGAUAACCAUCACCAGUGACAUUAAGAGUCUGUGUGAUCUAACUGGAUGUCUCCAUUUGGCAUAUGGAGGAGGAGGUUAAUAUGGCUGCUACAGUAAUGAACAGUUUGGAUGGUUAUAGUGGAAUUUGUUCUUGUACACGCACGCAGGAAAAUACACACACACACACAGGAAAACACAUACACACGCGUACACAGCCCACAGUAAUUCCACAGUAAUUCAGGCUGUUUUUGUGUGCAAUUAACCUAGUUGCGGCAGAGCACAUUUCCUGUGAGUCAGUAAAUGGAGGUUAUGUUCCUCUCCUAGGGAUCAGUCCUGCGGUCUGUCUCACUCACAAUACACACUUAGCCUCCAUUACACACUCCCCACUCCAACUGCUCAGAGGCUGUCCAGCACAAGAAUGGAGAGGAUUUCUCCUCAUUCAGCACAUAAUGGGAAUAUUUGAUUGUUGUUUAUUUCAUGAUGUUUAUUUAUUUUUACACACAUUUGGGAUGAACUCAUACAGAAUGGGCUCCUAGAAAGAGUCUGCAUUUACAUCAUGUUAUAAUUUAUGGGGUCUGGAACUGUAUAAAUCUGUGAUGGUGACUGACACUGUGUGUGUAAUAAUCUGUGAUGGUGACCGACAUUGUGUGUGUAUAAAUCUUUGAUAGUGACUGACACUGUGUGUGUAUAAAUCUGUGAUGGUGACUGAAACUGUGUGUGUAUAAAUCUGUGAUGGUGACUGACACUGUGUGUGUAUAAAUCUGUGAUGGUGACUGACAUUGUGUGUGUAUAAAUCUGUGAUGGUAACUGACACUGUGUGUGUAUAAAUCUGUGAUGGUGACUGAAACUGUGUGUGUAUAAAUCUGUGAUGGUGACUGACACUGUGUGUGUAUAAAUCUGUGAUGGUGACUGACACUGUGUGUGUAUAAAUCUGUGAUGGUAACUGAAACUGUGUGUAUAAAUCUGUGAUGGUGACUGACACUGUGUGUGUAUAAAUGUGUGAUGGUAACUGAAACUGUGUGUGUACAAAGCUGUGAUGGUGACUGACACUGUGUGUGUAUAAAUCUGUGAUGGUAACUAAAACUGUGUGUGUAUAAAGCUGUGAUGGUGACUGACACUGUGUGUGUAUAAAUCUGAUGGUGACUUGGCUUGGUCUGUCUGUUCUACCUCAUCUGUACAGCAGGGCUCUGGCUCCUGAGAACGUUAUCUCCUAACGAGCCAUGGCACCUCUUGUAGCGCUUAGCGGCCGCACAGACACCAUGCUCACAGUGGGGGAAACACACAUGCAGAUCAGCAUCACACACUGACCUCCUUAUCUCUGAACACAAAUUACUGCACUGCCUGUACUUUAGUGCAGAGGGGAGGAGCUGUUGAACUAUGAGGCUGUCAACCCUUGUGUGAUAAAGUCAGUAAGCUUUUUGCAGGUGUGCAAAGUUAGCCCCUGUUAUUCUGCAGUGAAAAUACAACAUCAAAGGUACAAUGAAGAGAAGAAGCAGGUUUUGAAUACAAAUGGAACCCUUUCAUGUUUUUGCUUUGUUUCCAUUUUUUGUUGUUCUUUGAUUCCCUUCCAAAAAUAACAGGUCCAAAUGUCCUUCUGGGAUAUGGGCUCAGAGGCUAGUGUUAGGGUUCUAAUUGGUCUGUGUGUCGUUCAGUCGGGUUUGUGUUGUAAGUAACUGGCCUCCUCAUUGUCUGUGCUUCAGUCAGAGGUUAGUGGGAAAUGAAACACUCCAUACUUCAUACAUUCAGGAGGUGAUAGAGGAGCAUGUUCUUUCACCGCACUGUUAACACUCUGCACACCACACCUUUCCCAUUAUAGGAAUACAUCCUUUACAGUAAAGCAAUACAUGGUAUCAGUGCAUGUGGGAUAUAGUAUAAAAUAGGGAGGGUAGGCUUUUAUUGAUAAUGAGGUACAAUUAUGAGCACCAUGUCUGGGUUGGGAGUGGGGGAAGUAGCUGGUUAGAGAGGUUUUUAACAAAUUCGUAUUUACAAUGCCAGCCUACCAGGGAACACUGGGUUGACUUCCUUGUUCAGGGGCAGAACAACAGAUUUUCAGACUUGUCAGCUCGGGGAUUCGAUCCAACGCUCUAACCACAGCUCGGGGAUUCGAUCCAACGCUCUAACCACUAGGUUACCUGCCGCCCCUUUUGCUUUAAUAUCAGAGGUCAAAUGCUUUAAUGAUUGACCUGGUAAUUCCUUACAGAUCAAGCAAAGAGGCUAUGUCACAUGACAUGGUGUCACGGCUGUUGAAGGAAGUGGACCAAUAUUUUAUUUUAUUAUAAGAAAUGACGCCAACAAAACAACAAACAAGAAAACAACCGUGAAGCUACAGGCUAUGUGCCUUAAACAAAGGUCAUCCUCCCACAAAGACAGGUGGGAAAAGGGCGACUUAAGUAUGGUUCUCAAUCAGAGACAACGAUAGACAGCUGAGCCUGAUUGAGAACCCUCCCGGCCAAAACAUAGAAAUACAAAUAAUAAAACAUAGAAUACCCACUCCAAAUCACACCCUGACCAAACCAAAUAGAGACAUAAAAAGGAUCUCUAAAGGUCAGGGCGUGACACAUGGGUCUGUCCAGAGACCUGACCCCGGUCACACUACAGAGUCUUUCACCUUUUGGCACCACCCAAUGAUCCUCAAGGGUGUCUGAGAGAAAUGAUAUGAAUCAAGAAGGAAAGCGUGUACAGUAUUUGGUAUACUGCUCCCCAUGCUUUAACCUGCACCAUAAUGCAUUGGUUCAGCUAUGAAGGCUAUUGGAGACUACCUUUCUGAGUGGUCAGAAACCUCAGUGAAUGAACCCAGGUAAAGGAAGUCUGAUGAUUGAUGAGGGAUCCAUAGGAACUCACAUCCUCCCAGUAGCUCAGGACAUAUCCCCAGGAAUGAUUCCUAGUGGUAUUUAGCAGAGCUAUAAUCAUAUGUCUAUACACUGUAACCAGGUCAAAGCCCCCAUCAUUCAGGUAGCUUUACAGAUAACCGUAUAUUUGGCGGUAUCAUGCAGAAAGCCUCAGUCACCCACUUAGCUCGCACCUGCUUUGUUCCCUGAGCUCAAUUAUAUCCUGCAAUGAGCUCAGAAGACAGAUCUCCCGCCAUUAAGGCUCUGCCAUCACCAGUUUCACUGUAAGCAGUGGCUUCACAGUGCAGCAAUCACCUCUGAUAAGAGGAUUAUGGGGCUGAGGAGGAAUCCUCGCCGGCUUCAUCACUGCUAUUAGGCAAACUCCUAUAGCCACGAAUAGUGUCUGUCUCUUACAUCUAUCCCGUUCUCUACCUCUACUCAUCUCUCACUGUUUUCUUUCUUUCUGUCUGGUGUCAUCUGUUCACUUUUCUCCCCCCAUCCGGUUUUAUCUUUACAUUUCCCUGUCCUUCUUCUUUCUUCUCCUGACUGCAUGGCCCAUUCCUUCAUCCCCCCUCCUUUUAUCUUUCUCUUUUCCUCCCUCUGUCAUCAGUAACUCAUCAAUGCGCUGGCAUGGGGUAAUAACCUUGCUUGCAUUCUUCAUAAACUUUACUGUCUGAUGGAAGGCUUUUUUUCUCUCUUUUUAGUGCGGUCGAUUUAAAGCUUGGAAACUAUAUGUUCAGCGCCCCCACCUUAAUGUCUGUGGAAUAGCUGUGUGCUGUAAAAGCGGCCUUAAUUGCACUGUGUCUGAAUG